AUUAUUUUACUGUCGAGGAUUGACAAGGGACCCCAUUUAAGCUGUGUAAGUUGCAUGAUAAAACCCUGUGUGUACCAGGAUCCUGACCAAGACGCUAUUUCGUUUCUAGGCAUCAACCAUCGAAGCUGUCAGGCUACCUUCACGCUUCAUAGAUACUUGAUAUAAGGUGAAGAUACAUACUAAAUUUCAGAUAAUUCUUCCUGAGAUCCUACCUGGCUGAGAGUCAGGGUUAUCUCUCGCAUCUUAGUUUCCUUGCGAUCGUGGCAUUCAUCGUGGAGAUCACAGCAAAUAUUUGCUCCUUCAAAUCCUGUCGUCACACAUAUAUAUAUAUAUUAGUUCAUGCUGUGCAGUGUCAUCAGCUUGCUGAUUCGGGCACCUGCCCCAUCUAUUCCUUGGAGGGUUACCAGAACUUCUAAGGAGGCUUCUUCUUUCACCCUUUAAUCGCCCGAUCCGCACAAAGCGGCGAUCAGUACGACCCAGGUGCGCACGAGCACCAAUCGAUAUUGACCGUGCUUCCAUACAUAGUAGCAUCAGCUGCUGCUAAGUGGCCAAUGAGAUUAAGUGAGAUAGUGCCAGAGUAGUGUGCAGGGGACUGAAUUGGGCCCAAAGGAGUAGAGUAGCUGGAGAACUCCACAUUCCCUGCGUGCUGAUGUACGUGCCACUGGCAGCGGACGGAUGAGAAAGG
rnacentral:lncRNA from 1 species